rnacentral:rRNA from 1 species
CGUUGGUGAACCAGCGGAGGGAUCAUUACCGAGUUUACAACUCCCAAACCCAAUGUGAACGUUACCAAACUGUUGCCUCGGCGGGGUCACGCCCCGGGUGCGUAAAAGCCCCGGAACCAGGCGCCCGCCGGAGGAACCAACCAAACUCUUUCUGUAGUCCCCUCGCGGACGUAUUUCUUACAGCUCUGAGCAAAAAUUCAAAAUGAAUCAAAACUUUCAACAACGGAUCUCUUGGUUCUGGCAUCGAUGAAGAACGCAGCGAAAUGCGAUAAGUAAUGUGAAUUGCAGAAUUCAGUGAAUCAUCGAAUCUUUGAACGCACAUUGCGCCCGCCAGUAUUCUGGCGGGCAUGCCUGUCCGAGCGUCAUUUCAACCCUCGAACCCCUCCGGGGGAUCGGCGUUGGGGAUCGGGACCCCUCACCGGGUGCCGGCCCUGAAAUACAGUGGCGGUCUCGCCGCAGCCUCUCCUGCGCAGUAGUUUGCACAACUCGCACCGGGAGCGCGGCGCGUCCACGUCCGUAAAACACCCAACUUCUGAAAUGUUGACCUCGGAUCAGGUAGGAAUACCCGCUGAACUUAAGCAUAUAUUGCGCCCGCCAGUAUUCU